UAGUACUUCUUAGUAUGUGCUGUAAAGUAUAGGAAGGCGAGGCAUGGAGGCCGAGCCAGUCCGAACACGACAGGAUGUCGUGUAGAGGACGAUUCCGUAACUUCUAGAAUCUAAUCCGCACAUACUUAGAAGUACUUAGUUGUGAAGC
rnacentral:ncRNA from 1 species